UACGUAGGGUGCAAGCGUUAAUCGGAAUUACUGGGCGUAAAGCGUGCGCAGGCGGUUUUGUAAGUCUGUCGUGAAAUCCCCGGCUCAACCUGGGAAUUGCGAUGGAGACUGCAAGGCUAGAAUCUGGCAGAGGGGGGUAGAAUUCCACGUGUAGCAGUGAAAUGCGUAGAGAUGUGGAGGAACGACCGAUGGCGAAGGCAGCCCCCUGGGUCAAGAUUGACGCUCAUGCACGAAGCGGUGGGGAGCAAACGAAGGAUUAC
rnacentral:rRNA from 1 species